UCGUUCGUCCACAGAGAGUCAGCCAUAUGAAUUUUAAUUUCGAAUAGUAUUGCAUUUAAUUCUUGUGCUUUGGAAAUAUUUUCGAAUGAAAGUGCUCGCAAGUGAUAUGUGUAUUGUAUGUACAUAUUUUAAAAUGAAAUGAAUACUGUGAUACUGAUGAUUUUUUAAACUUUAACGUCUUAAGCUGAGUAGUCUGUUUCGCUGUUCCGGCGGAACGCUGUCAAACUCCACAUAAAAUAAACGUCGGCGAAACGCUAGAUGAAAAUAGGCGAAAAGUAGUACUCUGCUUAAAGUGAGGAAAAUGGCAAAAGGAAAUUUUAGUGGCAACGCUUGAAACCAUUGCUUUUUUAUUGGUUUCAUUAGUUCGUUUAACUUUUAUUAUUAGCAAAAAAAUUAAAUAGAGAAAACAAUAUAUGCAGAUAAAAAAAAGAUUUUGGUAUGGAAACAAAAAUAUUUGAUGGCUGUCAAAUUCCGCUCGUGGAACAAUUAAAAAUUUCAGCGACUAUUCCGAAAGCAGAAUAGAUAACCAACCUUAGUAAAAAACGCCAGUUGAACACUUAUGUUUCAAUACAAUCAAGACUUUUCUGUAUUUUUUUACAUUGAUGUUUGCGUUUCAACAAAUUGAAAUUAGAAAAAUCAAAAACUUAACACAUAACUAAAUGCAUUGAAAACGGAUUGCUUCAAGAUGACAAGUAGUUCAUGUGAAAAGACGAACAGAAUACAAACAUUAUCGAAACACUAUUUGCAAUAUGUGAAACAGCAUGAAAGCAGAGCAAAAAGGAGUGAGUUCGGAACUUAUCGAAGAAUUAUAACUGCUGGAUCACUAAUGACAUAGACCCUGUAUUUGCCAAGGGAAUGAUUUAAAUACUUACACUGCACAUAUUUUGGCUAAGCGAAGAAAAUGAAGCAUUAAAAUGGAAAGGCAUGACAAAAAUGAAUUACUCGAGAGAUGAGAUCAACAGUCAACAAGCAGGACAUGCUUACUUUGGCCCAGGAACCCACCAGUUGACUUACAUUGUAAACUUGUUCAAAGCAAACAAGAAAAAAAACUAAACAACGACAACCAUAAAGUUUUGUUCAAGUUGAAAUUUGUACAAAUCUGUUGGAAACCAUAAUGCUCUUCUCUAUGAUGCCCUGGCUAUGCGGCAUGACUUUAAACUCUAAACAACAACACACAUUAAAGAGGAAGAGAACAAAGAAAAAAAAUAACAAACGAAACGAAAAACGACCAACAGGAAGGCAGCACACAAAGCAGUUGAAAACAUUUUAGAAAUGCACAUUCCUAUGGAAUAGUUUACACCGAGCCAAACACAGCACAGCACAACAGAAUCCUUAAACUAAUUUAAAAUUUAACCCACUGGGGAUGCCAUGGUAACAUCGUUUUGAUUUUUUGUCAUCGCAGUAAUAAAGAGCUGGUUA